rnacentral:rRNA from 1 species
GAUGAACGCUGGCGGCAGGCUUAACACAUGCAAGUCGAGCGCCCUGCAAGGGGAGCGGCAGACGGGUGAGUAACGCGUGGGAAUCUACCGAGCCCUGCGGAAUAGCUCCGGGAAACUGGAAUUAAUACCGCAUACGCCCUACGGGGGAAAGAUUUAUCGGGGUUUGAUGAGCCCGCGUUGGAUUAGCUAGUUGGUGGGGUAAAGGCCUACCAAGGCGACGAUCCAUAGCUGGUCUGAGAGGAUGAUCAGCCACAUUGGGACUGAGACACGGCCCAAACUCCUACGGGAGGCAGCAGUGGGGAAUAUUGGACAAUGGGCGCAAGCCUGAUCCAGCCAUGCCGCGUGAGUGAUGAAGGCCCUAGGGUUGUAAAGCUCUUUCAACGGUGAAGAUAAUGACGGUAACCGUAGAAGAAGCCCCGGCUAACUUCGUGCCAGCAGCCGCGGUAA